GGGUCAAAACGGACAUGGCAGCAGGUCAAAAUCAAAAUCUGCAGAAUGCAGUGAAAAAGAAUACCCAGAGACAAGGCACGGGUGGUGGGUCACCAAAAGCUGACCUCACCCCAGCAGAGGCCAGCUUUGGAGCUAAAUAAAGGCAGGCCUGUUGGAGGGGAUCCCUGGGGGAAAAGAGACAAGCAUAGGUCCCUCACAAGAUGCCACCCGCUUCAUACAAGUGUCUGGCAGCACUGUGUUACUGUUAAAGCCACCAGCACAAGCACCUGACGAUGCUGAUCCAGUGAGUACUCCAUCAAAGGCAUACUGUAGGCCUGGCACGUCUUGUCUACUAGCUUCAAUAUGAAUCCGAUUAAAUGUGAUGGGGUCAAGUCCCCAUUUCAUCAGCACAUAACGGCGAUGAUGAUGAGGAGACCAUCUCGCUGGAUUCCAAAAGGCAUAAGGACCCAGAGUCAUUGGUGCACUGGACUGCACAAUCAUAAGGAUAAAAGCCCCCUCAGGUGCCCAUGAGGCAGAUUUUGUAAAUAUGAAAUCUUUUUGAUCUUUUCCAUUGAACACUGGCAAAAUGGCCUGGCUCAGUCCAUGACUCCAGAAUCUUUUGUACCUCUGAAAUCUAUCAGCACCUAUCACAAGGUGAAUUCUCGGGUGUGUUGCUGGUAGACAGGGGGUAUGGCUGCCAGCCGUUUUUCCUGACACCUUUCACAGACCCCCAGGAAGCACAGCAGGCCUACAACUAUGCCCAUGCUAGGGCCAGAGUUGAAAUGACCUUUGGCCUCCUGAAGGCACGCUCUCACUGCUUUCACAAAUUAAGGGUCAGCCCUGUGAGGGAAUGUGACAUUACUGUGGCUGGUGGUGUCCUCCACAAUGUGGCCUGCCUGAGGAAGGAGAGGGCACCCAGAGUGCCGCCAGCCAUGGACUGGGACAAUCCGGAAAUCUUCCCUGAUGACAACAGUGGUCGGCUGCUGAGGGACCAAUAUGUGUUGAAUUAUUUUAGUCAGUAUGUGUGCUUUCACAUUUUUUGAUGUUUGUGCUGUAUACUGUGUGUAUACUGUUUGUAAUACAAGCUUGCAGGGAGGCUACUGCAUCCAUUAAUUGUCUUGUUUUCAGUUGUCUGAAAUUGUCUGUUCAGUUAAUGUGUAUGAAUUUGUCCUGCAUUUAUUUCAGUGUGCAGACAUGCAGGGUGUGUUAUAUACAGACCUUUGAAUGUGUAUUUAUCCUUUGGUUGUAUGAUAUGCUUUGAUUCUGUGCUUUCCAUUUUGUAGAGUCACUGUGUGACUUCAGUUUCGAAAGGAGCUGAUGGUUUUUGUUUUGUCCUUAUUCAAUAAAGAAACAUAAUGUUA